rnacentral:lncRNA from 1 species
GGGGGCAAGGGCUCUUUAAAUAGAGUGAAGAGAGGUCGAUUCCCACUCAAAAUUGAUUUCCUUCGAUGAAAUCAAGGAGAAGGAAACUCCCAACAUUCUUCUCUAUUUUUAUGCUUUAAUAUUCGUGCAAAAUUUUCUUUGGGCUCCUUUCUGAUGGUUAUGCCGGCCAAAUGAAUCAAACCCAAUUCAAAUUUAAGCCCGUUGUGGCCAGGACAUUACGGAAAUCUAUCUGCAAUUUAUAUGGUACAAGAAGUUUCGAGCUCUUUUGACCAAUAU